rnacentral:rRNA from 1 species
GACGAACGCUGGCGGCGUGCUUAACACAUGCAAGUCGAACGGUGAAGCGCCUUCCUUUUUGGUGGGUGUGGAUGAGUGGCGAACGGGUGAGUAACACGUGAGUAACCUGCCCCCUUCUUCUGGAUAACCGCAUGAAAGUGUGGCUAAUACGGGAUAUUCUGGGUCUGUCGCAUGAUGGGUCUGGGAAAGAUAUUGUUUCGGUGGGGGAUGGGCUCGCGGCCUAUCAGCUUGUUGGUGGGGUGAUGGCCUACCAAGGCGGUGACGGGUAGCCGGCCUGAGAGGGUGGACGGUCACACUGGGGCUGAGACACGGCCCAGACUCCUAGGGGACGCAGCAGUGGGGAAUAUUGCACAAUGGGAGCAAGCCUGAUGCAGCGACGCCGCGUGAGGGAUGGAGGCCUUCGGGUUGUGAACCUCUUUCGCCAGUGAAGCAGGCCUGCCUCGUUUGUGGGUGGGUUGACGGUAGCUGGAUAAGAAGCGCCGGCUAACUACGUG